AUGUGGUGGCCAGGGCUCAUCCUGCCUAGUGCCUGCCCCCUUCCUCCUGCCCGUCUCCAAACACCCCUGUCCCCUCUUCUCUCUCUCCAGCUGCUGCCGCAACUACAGACGGGGGCUAGUCCUUUCAGAAGUCCCUCCCGCUCUNCCUUCUGCAGCCCUACUGAGAAAGCUACGUCCUCUCAGCAGGUUGAAGCUGAGUCUCAGCACUGGAGCAAGUUUAAGGAGAUUCUGUGGACUGUAUGA
rnacentral:lncRNA from 1 species